rnacentral:rRNA from 1 species
GACGAACGCUGGCGGCGUGCUUAACACAUGCAAGUCGAACGGAAAGGCCCUGCUUUUGUGGGGUGCUCGAGUGGCGAACGGGUGAGUAACACGUGAGUAACCUGCCCUUGACUUUGGGAUAACUUCAGGAAACUGGGGCUAAUACCGGAUAGGAGCUCCUGCUGCAUGGUGGGGGUUGGAAAGUUUCGGCGGUUGGGGAUGGACUCGCGGCUUAUCAGCUUGUUGGUGGGGUAGUGGCUUACCAAGGCUUUGACGGGUAGCCGGCCUGAGAGGGUGACCGGCCACAUUGGGACUGGGAUACGGCCAAGACUCCUACGGGAGGCAGGAGUGGGGAAUAUGGCACAAUGGGCGGAAGCCUGAUGCAGCAACGCCGCGUGCGGGAGGACGGCCUUCGGGUUGUAAACCGCUUUCGCCUGUGACGAAGCGUGAGUGACGGUAAUGGGGAAAGAAGCACCGGCGAACUACGU